UCGCUCCUGCAGACCGUGGCGUCUGGCCGCACCCGAGCACUCAAAGGAUUUCCAGGCCCCGCACCGCGCCUGCCGCGAAUCGGAACCCUUAGAGGUGCCCUAGGCGGUAUCCCCGCGCUGACAGCAUCACCCCGACCCGCAUCCUCCUCCCUCUGUUUUGUUUUUCAUCCCUCCCUCCUCCCUCCAGUCCCCGACGACUGGCUCUAGACCCGGUUCUGGCCUCGCUGAAGGCUUCUGGUUACUCCCAUUCCCACCCUAUCCUUUAAUUUUAUUCUUUUGAAGAAUCUACAUUUCAAGCUAUCAAGUUGGAGAGAGUGAUUGCAGAAAGAAGUGUUCAUUGUUCAGGUAUCUUACCUAUUAGCUAUUAACAGGAAAACCAUUUGAUUUGAGGGUCUAAAAGGAAAAGAGAGAGCUUAAUUUGUAACCACAUGGAGUUUAAAAUCAACAGAAUCCAUCUGUAUAUCUUACAAUUUUAGUUUAAAACUUAGAAAACAGUAUUCAUUAGAUGGUCAUAAGUUUGCAUUACUCUCAGGUUUCUUUUAUUGCAUGAGAGAAAAACCUACUAAAGUAAGUUUAUAUUUUCUUAAGAUUUUGAUUAUUACCUCUAGCACAACAGUAGUCAGUAAUUAGUAACAAUGUGCAUUACUUUAAAAAAAGUCUUUAGGAUAAUGUAAAUAGAUAUGUACUUUUAAGUCUAGAGAAAUAGUAUCUACUUCUUGGCCUGUAGUUUAGUCUUCAUUGUAAAUACAUAAUGCUUAGGAUACACUAGAAUUCUCUGUCCUGGAACACUGUGUUUUCAAUAUAGCUUAUUAGAAUUGUUGCAGUCCUGAAGGGAGACUUCUGAAAUAUAAUACUAUCAACAUUUAAUGCAUCUAAUGGCAGUAGUUAUCAGAAAGAUAAAAGCAAUCCUAAGAUACUAUCUACUAUGAGAUAAGGUUGGUAAAUUAUAGGCCACACAGUCUGUUUUGGUACAUAAAGUUUUAUUGGUACACCCACCCAUUCUUUAAUCUCUUGUGCUAUAACUACAGAGUUGAAUAGUUGCCACAGAGCCUGUAUGACCCACAAAGCAAGCAUUUUUACUGUAUGUUCUUAAGUGUUUACCAACCCUUGCCAUGGAAGGAUUCCUAAAGAUGUUUCUAAAGAGCUCUUCCUUAAAAAUGUACAUAUGAACUCAUUCUUACUUCAUAGCCUAAUAAUAGUUUCCAGUUAUUUUUAGUAUGUUAAUAUUCUCUGAGUGUUUUGAGAAAAAAAAUGAUACUAGCAAUAAUUUUCUUUAUAGUUUUAAUAUAAGUUGACUUGAAUGUAAGCUUGACUACUAAACUCAUUUCUGUAGUUUUUAUUUUUAUGUGAUAAUCUGCCUUUAAGAAAGGUGUGCCAUUCCUGAGAGUACCAGAAGUCGAAUGAAAGAUCACCUGAUAAAAGAACAGUGAUGUUCCAUCUUCAAAGUGAUGCAUAGGCAGCGUUUAGGAAUUAACUGAUGUGUUGCCAUAUAUCUUCUCUCAUCUCUGUUUCUUGUUUUACAAUUUCAAAACAUUUGUGAUACUCGGUGUUAAGUCUAAAUUAACCACGUUUUGUACCACAAACUCGUUACCCAUGGAUCUUUUGCUGAAACAAGGAAGUCUUAAACAAGAAGUAGAACCAAACUGUAUCUGAAUCAGAUAGUCCAAAGGUUGGAGUAGUACAAAGUGAAGAUGAACCAUUGCGGUCUUUAGUUUCUGUAAAACCAGAAGGUGAGCUUUCCAGGGUCAAUUUUAUGUCCAGUUCCAAUAAAAUAGCAACAUUUAGUAAGAAAAUAAAAAGAAGAAAAUAUGAUGAAAGUUAUUUGUCCUUUGGAUUUACUCACUUUGGAAAUCAUGAUACGCUUCAUGCUCAGUGCAUAUUAUGUAAGAAGAUUUUAUCCAAUAGCUCUUUAGUUCCUAGUAAGCUUCGAAGACAUUUAGAAACUAAAUACAUUGCAUAUAAAGACAAAGACAUCAGCUAUUUCAAGCAGUAUCUUGAUUCACCUGAAAUCAAUAAACCUCCAGCACCUAAGACUGUCAAUACAGAUAAUGAAAGUGCUACAAUGUAAGUUACCACAUAGCCCUGAGUGGAGAGGCUCACACUCUUGGAGAAUUGCUUAUCAAACCGUGUGCAAAAGCUGUAGUGAUGCGGAUGUUUGAUGAACAGCAUAGUAAAAGAAUAGCUGCGGCCCAACUCUCAAACAGUACUGUGGCACGCCGAAUUAAAGGUCUAGCUGCUGACAUUGAAGAAGAGCUUGUUUGUAGACUGAAAAUUUGUGAUGGGUUUUCACUGCAGCCAGAUGAAUCAGCUGAUAUUUCAGGGCUUGCUGUGCUGCUUGUGUUUAUUUGUUAUAAGUUUAAUAAAUCUAUUGAGGAGGAUCUACUCUUGUGUGAAUCUUUGCAGAGUAAUGCAACUGGUGAAGAAAUAUUCAACUGCAUUAACAGUUUUAUGCAGAAACAUGAAAUUGAAUGGAAAAAAAUGUGUUGAUGUUUGCAGUGAUGCUUAUAGGGCAGUGGAUGGGAAAAUUGCUGAGGCUGUCACCUUGAUUAAAUAUGUAGCUCCAAAAAGUACCAGUAGUCACUGCUUAUUAUAUCAACAUGCAUUAGCAGUUAAAAUAAUGCCUACAUCUCUAAAAAGUGUGCUAGAUCAAGCAGUACACAUUAUCAAUUACAUCAAAGCUCGACCACAUCAAUCCUGGGUACUAAAAAUUUUAUGUGAAGAAAUGGGUGCUCAGCAUACAGCACUUCUUCUGAAUACAGAAGUAAGGUGGCUUUCCCGAGGUAAAGUUCUUUUAAGACUUUUUGAGAUUUGGCAUGAACUAUUGGUUUUUAUGGAUUCUGCUUUUCGACUAUCUGGUUGCUUAACAAAUUCAUCUUGGCUGCUAAGACUUGCUUAUCUUGCCGACAUUUUUACUAAAUUAAAUGAGGUUAAUCUGUCAAUGCAAGGAAAGAAUAUAACAGUGUUUAUAGUGUUUGAUAAAAUGUCGUCAUUGUUAAGACAAUUGGAGUUUUGGGCCUCAUCUGUAGAAGAAGAAAAUUUUGAUUGCUUUCCUUACACUCAGUGACUUUUUGACUGAAAUUAAUUCUACAGUUGAUAAAGAUAUUUGUGGUGCUAUUGUGCAGCAUCUAUGGGGUUUGCACGCUACUCUUUUGAAAUAUUUUCCUGUAACAAGUGAUAAUAAUGCUUGGGUUAGAAAUCCAUUUACAGUAACUGUUAAGCCAGCCUCAUUAGUAGCACAAGACUAUGAGAGCCUGAUUGAUUUAACAUCUGAUUCCCAAGUGAAACAAAAUUUCAGUGAACUGUCAUUAAAUGAUUUUUGGAGUAGCCUAAUUCAUGAAUACCCAAACAUUACAAGACGUGCUGUUCGUGUACUUCUUCCUUUUGCAACAAUGCACCUGUGUGAAACAGGGUUUUCAUAUUAUGCGGCAACAAAAACAAAAUACAGGAAAAGACUUGAUGCUGCACCUCAUAUGCGGAUCCAACUUAGCAAUAUUACACCUAAUAUUAAACGAAUAUGUGAUUUUAAAAAAGACACAAAAACACUGUUCUCAUUGAAAUUGGAGAGUUUUGCAUGUCUCUUGGUAAUGUAAGAUGAAAAUAAAAGAUUAUUUACUUUAUCUCUAGUAUUGGAAUUCUAAGAAACUAAGUCAAACAUUCAAACGUCAUUGCUAUUAUUUUUACAUUGUAAAUUUCAAAGGGUUCCAUAGUCACAACUGGAAAAUGAUGAUCCAUAAAAUAAAGUUCUAGUUCCUUA